AAAGUACUCCCUCCGUCCCAAAAUUCAUGUCUUAGAUUUGUCUAGAUAUGGAUGUAUCAAGUCACAUUUUAGUAUUAGAUACAUCCGUAUCUAGACAAAUCUAAGAUAAGAAAUUUGGGACAGAGGGAGUAGUUG
rnacentral:pre_miRNA from 1 species